CAGCAGUCGCCACGGUAAUACGUAGGGUGCAAGCGUUAAUCGGAAUUACUGGGCGUAAAGCGUGCGCAGGCGGUUAUAUAAGACAGAUGUGAAAUCCCCGGGCUCAACCUGGGAACUGCAUUUGUGACUGUAUAGCUAGAGUACGGCAGAGGGGGAUGGAAUUCCGCGUGUAGCAGUGAAAUGCGUAGAUAUGCGGAGGAACACCGAUGGCGAAGGCAAUCCCCUGGGCCUGUACUGACGCUCAUGCACGAAAGCGUGGGGAGCAAACAGGAUUAGAUACCCCGGUAGUCCCUGUCUCUUAUAC
rnacentral:rRNA from 1 species